rnacentral:rRNA from 1 species
GAUAAACGCUGGCGGCGCACAUAAGACAUGCAAGUCGAACGGACUUAACUCGAAGUUUACUUUGAGAGCGGUUAGUGGCGGACUGGUGAGUAACACGUAAGCAACCUGCCUAUCAGAGGGGAAUAACAGUGAGAAAUCAUUGCUAAUACCGCAUAUGCUCACAGUAUCACAUGAUACAGUGAGGAAAGGAGUAAUCCACUGAUAGAUGGGCUUGCGUCUGAUUAGCUGGUUGGCGGGGUAACGGCCCACCAAGGCGACGAUCAGUAGCCGGUCUGAGAGGAUGAACGGCCACAUUGGGACUGAGAUACGGCCCAG